UGCUCCAAGGACUGUACAGCUCCAGCUUGGACACAGCUCUGGCUCCUGAACAUCUACAUCUCCAGUUCAGUUUUGGCUAUAGCUCAUGUUGCUUUCUGCUCUGGGUUCAGGUCGAUCCUGCAGACAGUUCCAGCUCAUUUGCAGCUUCAGGCCCAGCCCCUGGAUGGCUCCGGUUCCAUUGUGGCUGCAGCUCAUGUCCAUUUCUAGCUCUGUUUGCUGUUUCAGGUGCAGCCCCAGUCAGUUACAGCUUGUGCUUGUUGAACUGAGGCUGGCUUGUGGCCAGGUCAGGAAUCACUCACUGUCACAACACGUAGAUGAAUAUAACCUGUCAUAAUUGUUCACCAUCCAGCUCUGGGCUAACAAACACCCAGGACUCCUGUGGUUGUACAUGCCUUGAGUAAAUAAAAAGUUGAAGCCCAAACAAAGUGUGAAAAGCACCUUUUGCCUAUCUCAGAUGUUUAAUGCAGCCUGGUGCAUGCCGGCAUCCCAGCAUUUGGGGACCAAUGCGAC